rnacentral:lncRNA from 1 species
AUGAAUGGAAAAUGAACUUGCCAGUUCACAGCUAUGUCCUUCCCAAUUUAGGAGGUUAAGGGCAGGAAAAACAUGAGAAACUCUUUUGAGAAGCUGCACAAGCUGACAUGGAGGAUCAAGGAUUUCAAAAGCUUUGAAUAUAAAGAGGUGUCAGACUUACAUCAGAGCCUGAGACUUGACAUGCCUAUUUUUGCACUCGCUCAUUUUUCAAAUUUCAUAGGCAUUGCUCCCUCCAAAUCACCGCUCUUCUAAUUUUAUCCUGGAGUGUGCAUCCCAGAAGACAUAAGCUGACACAAUUGGGAACUGAAGUUGCUUGAAAAAGCUGGUGGUAAGAUUAGGGAUCAGCAUCAUAUAUCACUAUUUCUCAAAGAUUAUCUGGUCUCUUGAUGGCAAAUCUACAAUAUUGAAACCUUUGAAAGAGAAAUUGUGUUUUGUGAGUUACAUGACUACCGUUUGCAUCCAAGGUCUCCUCUGUAGUCAAGAGAAGAAUGCAG